rnacentral:rRNA from 1 species
AUUGAACGCUGGCGGCAGGCUUACCACAUGCCAGUCGAGCGAGCGGCGGACGGGUGAGUAAUGUCUGGGAAACUGCCUGAUGGAGGGGGAUAACUACUGGAAACGGUAGCUAAUACCGCAUACCAUAAGAUGUUCCCAGAUGGGCUUAGCGAGUAUGUGGGGUAAUGGCUCACCAAGGCGACGAUCCCUAGCUGGUCUGCGAGGAUGACCAGCCACACUGGAACUGAUACACGGUCCAGACUCCGACGGGAGGCAGCAGUGGGGAAUAUUGCACAAUGGGCGCAAGCCUGAUGCAGCCAUGCCGCGUUUGUGAAGAAGGCCGUCGGGUUGUAAAGCACUUUCAGCGGGGAGGCGUUACUCGCAGAAGAAGCACCGGCUAACUCCGUGCCAGCAGCCGCGGUAAUUC